AACGAACGCUGGCGGCAGGCCUAGCACAUGCAAGUCGAGCGCCCUUUCGGGGGAGCGGCGGACGGGUGAGUAACGCGUGGGAAUAUGCCCUUCUCUACGGAAUAGCCUCGGGAAACUGAGAGUAAUACCGUAUACGCCCUAUGGGGGAAAGAUUUAUCGGGGAAGGAUUAGCCCGCGUUGGAUUAGGUAGUUGGUGGGGUAAUGGCCUACCAAGCCGACGAUCCAUAGCUGGUUUGAGAGGAUGAUCAGCCACACUGGGACUGAGACACGGCCCAGACUCCUACGGGAGGCGGCAGUGGGGAAUCUUAGACAAUGGGGGCAACCCUGAUCUAGCCAUGCCGCGUGAGUGAUGAAGGCCUUAGGGUUGUAAAGCUCUUUCAGCUGGGAAGAUAAUGACGGUACCAGCAGAAGAAGCCCCGGCUAACUCCGUG
rnacentral:rRNA from 1 species